AUUGAACGCUGGCGGCAGGCCUAACACAUGCAAGUCGAGCGGAUGAGAAGAGCUUGCUCUUCGAGUUAGCGGCGGACGGGUGAGUAAUGCCUAGGAAUCUGCCUGGUAGUGGGGGACAACGUUUCGAAAGGAACGCUAAUACCGCAUACGUCCUACGGGAGAAAGCAGGGGACCUUCGGGCCUUGCGCUAUCAGAUGAGCCUAGGUCGGAUUAGCUAGUUGGUGAGGUAAUGGCUCACCAAGGCGACGAUCCGUAACUGGUCUGAGAGGAUGAUCAGUCCAACUGGAACUGAGACACGGUCCAGACUCAUACGGGAGUCAGCAGUGGGGAAUAUUGGACAAUGGGCGAAAGCCUGAUCCAGCCAUGCCGCGUGUGUGAAGAAGGUCUUCGGAUUGUAAAGCACUUUAAGUUGGGAGGAAGGGCAGUAAGCGAAUACCUUGCUGUUUUGACGUUACCAACAGAAUAAGCACCGGCUAACUCUGUGCCAGCCGCCGCAGUAAUAC
rnacentral:rRNA from 1 species